GGGGAAUAUUGCACAAUGGGGGAAACCCUGAUGCAGCAACGCCGCGUGAAGGAUGACGGUUUUCGGAUUGUAAACUUCUUUUCUUAGUGACGAAGACAGUGACGGUAGCUAAGGAAUAAGCAUCGGCUAACUACGUGCCAGCAGCCGCGGUAAUACGUAGGAUGCAAGCGUUAUCCGGAUUUACUGGGUGUAAAGGGAGCGCAGGCGGACCGGCAAGUUGGAAGUGAAAACUAUGGGCUCAACCCAUAAAUUGCUUUCAAAACUGCUGGCCUUGAGUAGUGCAGAGGUAGGUGGAAUUCCCGGUGUAGCGGUGGAAUGCGUAGAUAUCGGGAGGAACACCAGUGGCGAAGGCGACCUACUGGGCACCAACUGACGCUGAGGCUCGAAAGCAUGGGUAGCAAACAGGAUUAGAUACCCUGGUAGUCCAUGCCGUAAACGAUGAUUACUAGGUGUUGGAGGAUUGACCCCUUCAGUGCCGCAGUUAACACAAUAAGUAAUCCACCUGGGGAGUACGACCGCAAGGUUGAAACUCAAAGGAAUUGACGGGGGCCCGCACAAGCAGUGGAGUAUGUGGUUUAAUUCGAAGCAACGCGAAGAACCUUACCAGGUCUUGACAUCGAGUGACGAAUCUAGAGAUAGAUUUUUCCUUCGGGACACAAAGACAGGUGGUGCAUGGUUGUCGUCAGCUCGUGUCGUGAGAUGUUGGGUUAAGUCCCGCAACGAGCGCAACCCUUGCUAUUAGUUGCUACGCAAGAGCACUCUAAUAGGACUGCCGUUGACAAAACGGAGGAAGGUGGGGACGACGUCAAAUCAUCAUGCCCCUUAUGACCUGGGCUACACACGUACUACAAUGGAUGUAAACAGAGGGAAGCAAAAUAGCGAUAUGGAGCAAACCCCAAAAAGCAUUCUCAGUUCAGAUUGCAGGCUGCAACUCGCCUGUAUGAAGUUGGAAUUGCUAGUAAUCGCGGAUCAGCAUGCCGCGGUGAAUACGUUCCCG
rnacentral:rRNA from 1 species